GACGAACGCUGGCGGCGUGCCUAACACAUGCAAGUCGAACGGGACCAGGGGCAACUCUGGUUCAGUGGCGGACGGGUGCGUAACACGUGGGUGACCUGCCCUCAGCUCUGGGAUAAGCCUGGGAAACCGGGUCUAAUACUGGAUAUGACUCCAUGACGCAUGUUGUGGGGUGGAAAGCCUUGUGCGGCUGAGGAUGGGCCCGCGGCCUAUCAGCUUGUUGGUGGGGUGAUGGCCUACCAAGGCGACGACGGGUAGCCGGCCUGAGAGGGCGACCGGCCACACUGGGACUGAGACACAGCCCAGACUCCUACGGGAGGCAGCAGUGGGGAAUCUUGCGCAAUGGGCGAAAGCCUGACGCAGCGACGCCGCGUGAGGGAUGACGGCCUGGUGU
rnacentral:rRNA from 1 species